rnacentral:lncRNA from 1 species
CCUUCUUUCGACCUUGAGUUUGUUAGCCCAUUCUCUUCUGAUUAACUUUCCCUUUUAUUCUUCCUUUUGAUAUCUUUGAUUUACCAUGACUUUUUCUAAAUCCUCUUCCAUCUAAACACCUUUUAUUUGUUGCAAGUAUGCAGACUUCUGCAUUUUCAUGUUCCACAAUUUAAUAUUCUUUACACUCAAGAAUUUUUAAGCAUGCCUCAUGCAAAUUGCUAUAUUCCUAUUCUUCUUUUCCUGAAGCAUUAUUUUAAGUUUAGACACUUUGCUUUAAUUUCUUUCAUAGUAAAAUUAACAUAGAUCCAAUAUUUCAAAUGAGAAGUGACCUUUAUUCCUAUUAUUACAACUGCAAUGUAGAAGUGAGCUGGAAAAUCGUAAUGAAGAUUACAGACAUCUCAUAGACA